CAGGGCUGGGCGGGGGCGGCAGGACUUGAACCGGCGCCUGCUCUCGCGGAGGCAGCAGCAGAGCUCACCCCUUUCUCGGGAAAUGGUUUAUCGUGGAUAAAACGCAGUCCCCAAAGCGAAGGUCCGACGGGCGGCCAGACGCACCCCGGGGACCUUCAGGAGCCGGGAGAGUGGGGACCCUCUGGCCACUCCAGAAAGACCUACUGGAUCUCCUCUCCUGCCCUCGCUCACCCUUACCCUCUGUCUCCCAUUCACUCUUCGGUUUGCUCUGGUGAUUCAUUCUCUCUCUCUUUCUCCUUCCCUCCCUCCCUCCCUGUCUCUCCCUCCCUCCCUCUCUCUCCCUCCCUCCCUCUCUCUCCCUCUCUCCCUCCUUCCCCCACCCAAUUGUGCCACCACGCUCCAGCCUGGGUGACAGAGCAAGACUCUGCCUUUUCUUUCUCAAAAAUCCCUGGAGUCUGCCUUUGCUUCAGAAAUUAGUUUAUCCAGCUAUACUUGAUGGAAAACCCAGUGUUUCAGUAGCAGAAAGAGCUUUGUGGUGUAAGCCAUUCUAGAAUAAGUAGACAGGCUAGGGGUCUCUUCCGUGGGAUGCCAGUUAGCUGUGUCCCAAAGACAGACCUCAAAGACUCCAUCCCAGGGACACAAUGCCUCUCCCGAAGCUAGGACUCUGGAAUCAGGACACAGGUUGCUCUCUCUGGACAUAUUUCUCUAAGUAAACAAGUUGCUCUUCCUUAGAGUAGCUGUUGUGUUGCUGUAUUCCCAUCACAUUCCCAGGGGUGUGAAAUAGUAGACUCUCCAGUCUACUAGAGAUGGGGCCAUUUUCUCAGCAACACUUGCUUGUUAUAUCCUGUUAAAAAAUCUUAACGUAGAAAAAUGGGCAAAACAUAAAUGUAUAACUCCAUGAACAACUGCAAAGUGAAAACAUAUAUAGUCAAUAUACAUAUUUUAAAAAAUAAAACAUUGUGGGCGGGCACGGUGGCUCACAUCUGUAAUCCCAGCACUUUGGGAGGCCGAGGCAGGCGGAUCACCUAAGGUCGGAAGUUCGAGACCAGCCUGCCCAACAUGGAGAAACCCUAACUCUACUAAAAAUACAAAAUUAGCCGGCAUGGUGGCACAUGCCUGUAAUCCCAGCUACUCGGGAGGCUGAGGCAGGAGAAUCGCUUGAACCCGGGAGGCAGAGGUUGCGGUGAGCGAAGAUCACACCAUUGCACUCCAGCCUGGGAAACAAGAGCGAAACUCCAUCUCAAAAAAAAACAUUGCCAACACACCAAAAGCCCCAAACAGUAUCUGCUAUCAUUGCUAUCAUUACUUAAACACUGUGGUAUAAUUUUUCCAAUUAUUGAAUUUUGAUUUUUUAGUAUAUUCACAAGAUUUUGCAGCCGUCACUAUAAUUUAGAGUAUUUUUGUCCUCUGUCAAAGAACCCCCCCAUACCCAUUCGCUGCCACUUCAUACUCCCCACAUUCUGUCCCCACCCUAAAGACCUACUUUUUGUCUCCAUAGAUUUACCUUUUCUGGACACUUUAUAUAAAUGCAAUGAGUCUUUUGUGACUAGCUUCUUUAACAGCAUAAUGCUUCAAGGUUCAUCCAUGUUAUCGAAAGUAUGGAUAUGUCAUAUCUUUUUAUUGCCAAAUAACAGUCCAUUGUGUGGCUGUACCAAUAUUUUAUGUAUUCAUUCCUCAGCUGAGAGACAUUUGGCUGGUUUUCACUUUCUCGCUAUUAACAAUAAUGCAGCUCUGAACAUUUGUGUACAAUAAAAAUAAAUAGCAUCCUACAAUUAAUAUGGAAACAGCAGAAAUUUAUUUCUCAUAAUUCUGGAGGCUGAGAAGUUCCAUAUCAAGGAUCUGAUAGAUUCAAUGUCUGGUGAGGAAAUGCUUCAUAAAUGGUUCAUAAAUGGUGCUUUCUUGCUGUGUCUUCAUGGUGGAAGGGGUAAGGUCUUCCUGGGGCCUCAUUUGUUUACGUAUGUAUUCAUUUAUAUUUUUGGAGACCCAGCCUGCAUCUGGUUUCCCCUUCUUCCUUGAAUGUAAACCCUAGAAAGCUGGGCUUUCUUUUGAGAGCUUGGGAGAUUUUUGUCUCAACUCAAAGAGACUAGAGGAUGACCCAUCUAUUUUUUCAUUAGUUUUAAACUCAGCUUUUUUACUUCCUGUAGAGUUUCAGAAUUUGGCAAAAGUCUCAAGGCUCAAGCUGGUUGUCUGAAGCCUUUCAAACCCCCAGUUUUAUCACCACAUAUGAGGUAUGCAUCCAAGUUUACUUAUUUAUUUUUUUUGCAUGUGGAUAUUCAAUUGUUCCAGCACCAUUUGUUGAACUUUAAACAUGCAUUUAAAGGUGCGUAUACAUGCUGAUUUGUCAAAGGGAUAGACUGGGCUAGUUAUUUACCUAUAUUUCUCAACUCUAAACCUUCCUUCUAAAUCCUGCUCUGUGCUGCUGGGGCUGAGGCUCUACAAACUCUAUGUCCUAGACUCCCUUGCCAGUUGGCUUUCUGUUACAUCUGCCAAUAAGAACUGUUAAUAAGGGACUGAUGUUGGGAGAAAAGCUGAGUGUUGGGAGAGAAGUUGAAGCAGGGCUUGGAACAUGUCUGGGGCCCGAGGUCUAAACCCCCUCUUGGCCUUUGGAAUGUGUCUGGACUUGCUGGCUCCUUGCUUCUAGCACUCCCAUUAUCUCAAGUAGCCAUAUGUGUCAAAGAACAUGCUAAAUCAUCACAGCUGUAGCUCAUUCACUUGAUACACCGCUUCCCUUCAAACCCCACAUCCUCACCACCUGUUUCUUUGUUUGAUCACCAAUAAAUAGGGUGAGCUCCCAGAGCUUGGGGCCUUCGCAGCCUCCAUACUAGCGUUGGCCCCCUGGUCCCACUUUCUCUCUUAACUUGUCUUUUCUCAUUCCUUUGUCUCCACCGGACUUCGUCACCCCCAUGACCUGGUGUUGGGUCCGAUCACCCCAACAACUGGAAUACGGAAGGGAAUAAGAAGAGGAUUCCUUCCUAAUUGCUAGCUUCUGUUAGCAGUAGCUGAUGCCAUGGCCCCUGCUGCCAGCUCUCAAUCUUCACCUGAGCCAGGUGGCACCCCUUUGAGAAAUAGGGUACUACCCCUUCACCUCCUUCACCUGCCAAUCUGGGCUUCCUCUGUGGAGGUCCCAACACCCACUGGUCUGUGUCCUCUUCUCAGAGGUCCCAGCACCAACCGCACCAGCCACAGGACUCCUCUUCUCGGUGGUACAACCAGCAGCUUCCAGGCCCAGCCACAUAUCCAGAGCUUGGGGAUCAGGUAUAGAGAGCCAAUCCCCUGGGAACCCAUGCAUUAGUCCCAGGGGGCCUCUCCUCCAAGCGCCUACAUUCUGGAAAAGCCUCAAGUUUCUACAGUCAUGAUACCUGGGAAACUCAGUGCUCCCUUUUGGAUUUUUCUUAGCCCUUCAACACCUAUGUAAAUCUGCAUGAAAUUUCCACUGUUUGAAUAGAGUGUCAUUCCCUGCUGAGCCCUAACUGAUACGCUGUGUUUCCAGUGUCCCUCAUCCACUAGACUCAGUGGUGUCAGGAAUGGUGUGGUAUUUUGUUAUAAAUUUAACUCCUUAGAUGGACACACAGAGAGCCUCGAUAAAUAUUUUUAAUCCAUCAAUGCAAGGAGUGUGGUUGUCAGAAGUCAGCUAAAAGUCCAAGUUUAAAUCUAAGCUCCGCCGUUCACAGCUUGGGUGACCUCAGCUUCUUUUUUGGAAAUGAAGUUCAUAUUUUCCGAGCACUUUUUCUGUGCCAGGUGCUUCCAAAUGUAUCUCGUUUAAUCCUCACAACAUACCUCAGAGGAAGACAUCAUUUUUACAAGUAAGGAAAUAGAGGCUCAGAGAGAUGAAGUGGUUGACCCGGGCUGUCUAUCUUGUAAAUGGUGGGCUGUGAUUCCCACACGACUGGAGUUUCUGGAGUCAGAGGCUGCCUGGAGUCAGGGGCUGCCUGACUCCAGAAACCAUUUUCUGUGCAUUUCAUGUAGCUCCACCUCAAUUGCCUUCCUUUCCUCAUCUGCAGACUGAUUAAAUAAAAUGUAUAAUUUGGAUGAAAUUUGAUAAAUAAUUCUGAAUGCAUUCUUUUUUAGAAUAAAUUAUCUGCAGUUCAGUACUUUAUUCUUACUAAUAAAUUCCAAGCAACACUCCUACUCACGGGCCUGGCCCUUCCCAUGCAUUUUCUUUUC
rnacentral:lncRNA from 1 species